GAGAAGGUACCUUCGGGUACUGGAGAGUGGCGGACGGGUGAGUAACACGUGGGAACAUGCCUUUCGGUACGGAACAACGCUUGGAAACGAGUGCUAAUACCGUAUACGCCCUUAGGGGGAAAGAUUUAUCGCCGAAAGAUUGGCCCGCGCUAGAUUAGCUAGUUGGUAAGGUAAUGGCUUACCAAGGCGACGAUCUAUAGCUGGUUUGAGAGGAUGAUCAGCCACACUGGGACUGAGACACGGCCCAGACUCCUACGGGAGGCAGCAGUGGGGAAUAUUGGACAAUGGGGGCAACCCUGAUCCAGCGAUGCCGCGUGAGUGAUGAAGGCCUUAGGGUUGUAAAACUCUUUCAGAUGGGAUGAUAAUGACAGUACCAUCAGAAGAAGCUCCGGCUAACUCCGUGCCAGCAGCCGCGGUAAUACGGAGGGAGCUAGCGUUGUUCGGAAUUACUGGGCGUAAAGCGUACGUAGGCGGAUCAGAAAGUAGGGGGUGAAAUCCCGAGGCUCAACCUCGGAACUGCCUCCUAAACUCCUGGUCUUGAGUUCGAGAGAGGUGAGUGGAAUUCCAAGUGUAGAGGUGAAAUUCGUAGAUAUUUGGAGGAACACCAGUGGCG
rnacentral:rRNA from 1 species